CGGGAUCCCCUAAAUUUUGCCCCCCAAUGUAUUUUUUUUGGUCAUUUGGGAGAGCAAGUGGACAUAUGUCUGGCUUAUGUCCAUCCUUAUCACCCAACCACACCCGCCAAAUUUCUCUCCCAAAUUAGUUUUUACUUCUCUUUAUCCUUCCUCCUCUCAUUUUCACCUUUUCUUUUCCUUUUCCCAAACCUUUUUUAAAUUUGGGGCAAGUUUGGGACAUGUGUCCAGAUAAACAUGACAUUUGUCCGUUUAGGAGAUGCCAUUGGGGGAUGAUUUUGGAAGCAAAAUGUCCAUAUCCACCAAAUAGAACAUUUAAGAUAGGUUUGAGAGAUGCCAUUG
rnacentral:lncRNA from 1 species